rnacentral:lncRNA from 1 species
CUUGGUUUGUUAAAAAUUUUGAUUCAUCUCUGGUUAGGGAUUCUGUGGGAAGCCUAUGGCUCCCUUCAGAGUGGACUCAUAGGGAAGGGGUAUACUGUUUGUGACAGGGCUAUCUUCCAUGCCAACCCUCCCAUUUCUUCCUCAGACUCGUUCUUGCUUGAACUGCCUCCUCUGAAUUCCUCACUCGCUGAGGAAUCCCAGCAUCCCCUGGGAGAGUCCCAUCUUAACAGCUCAAAUCAGAAUGUCUGUCGUGUGGUCCCAGCCUCACUGUCAAGCUUAGACUGGAUUGCUACACUUGCUCAGAUUUGAACAGAUUGUUCCCCAUGGAGUUAGUGACUUAGACUGGUAGCUGCCUACUAGAAAAUCUAGCUUUUGGCCUGGUCAUGAUCCUCCUAAGUCCUAGCCUUGGCCUCUAAAGAUGUCCUGUUCCCAGUAAGAACUUCAAGUUCUAGCACUGAAGGACCAAGCAUGAAUGGGAGGGACCUGCUGGUGCAUUGCAGCCAGGGCUACCAUCAUGAUACCCUGCGCCUGCCCACGCUAUCCAGCACAGGAUGCCAGCGCCCCUCUCCCCUGUGUGGAUGGCAGCGGACUCACUCUCCUCGGGCAGCUCAUAGUCCUCCGCCUCACGCUCCAUCUGCUGGCACCAGUGUUCCAGUUUCUCCACCUCUGCCCGCAGCAUCUUGAUGAACCACUCGCCAUCCCGUGGGCAGGGGGACGUGCGGCCUGAGUCGGGGAGGCUACGUGAACCCCGCUCCAUCCAGGAAUCACGGCGGCCGGACCCGGGACCGGGGGCUGGGACAGGGGUAGGGCCAGGCGACCCAUCGGUGGCCGGCGGCUCAUACGGCAGUGGGUAGCCCUCGCGGUAGGCCCACUGGCCCUGUGUGUGGACCGUGCGGAAGACUGAGUAGGUGGGGGCCCGAGGGCCGGGCUGGGGCUCAGAGGCGUGCCUCUGGAAGGAGCGUCCGAACUGCAGGGCCUUGUCUUCUGUGGCCACAGUGGCCAGGCCGGCCAGGCCCUCCAGCUCCAGGUCUGCCUGCACACCGGCUGUCACGCUGUUGGAGCGCUUGAACCUCGCCCGCCUGUGGAGGGAGAUGCCUAUCAUUUCUGCUCCUGCUCCAGUCACCCCAGGUCACCACCCUCAAUCCAAACUCCAAGCCCUCCCCCAAAAAUGGAAGGAAGGCUGUUGUGAUGAGGAACCUACAAAUCAGUGGCCACCAAUCCAUACACAGGAAACCAAUUAAAUCCUUGGAGCUGAUUACAUCCUGACCACCGACUUCUCUGAGUUCCCCUGCCUGAGAUGGCCUUUUUCAUUCUGGCUUCCUGACAUUCUCUGCUCAAGCCCCUGACUGCCCUCAAG